GGGAACUACGAGCAUAAGCUUAAAACCCAAAGGACUUGGCGGUGCUUUAGACCCCCCUAGAGGAGCCUGUUCUAGAACCGAUAACCCCCGUUCGACCUCACCUUUUCUUGUUCAUCCCGUCUAUAUACCGCCGUCGUCAGCAUACCCUGUGAAGGAAACAUAGUAAGCAAAAUUGGUAAAACCCAAAACGCCAGGUCGAGGUGUAGCAUACGAAAAGGAAAGAAAUGGGCUACAUUUCCUCUUACAGGAAAUACGAAUUGUGUCAUGAAACAACACAUGAAGGAGGAUUUAGCAGUAAGCAGAAAAC
rnacentral:rRNA from 1 species